GACGAACGCUGGCGGCGUGCUUAACACAUGCAAGUCGAACGGAAAGGCCCUGCUUUUGUGGGGUGCUCGAGUGGCGAACGGGUGAGUAACACGUGAGUAACCUGCCCUUGACUUUGGGAUAACUUCAGGAAACUGGGGCUAAUACCGGAUAGGAGCUCCUGCUGCAUGGUGGGGGUUGGAAAGUUUCGGCGGUUGGGGAUGGACUCGCGGCUUAUCAGCUUGUUGGUGGGGUAGUGGCUUACCAAGGCUUUGACGGGUAGCCGGCCUGAGAGGGUGACCGGCCACAUUGGGACUGAGAUACGGCACAGACUCCUACGGGAGGCAGCAGUGGGGAAUAUUGCACAAUGGGAGGAAGCCUGAUGCAGCAACGCCGCGUGCGGGAUGACGGCCUUCGGGUUGUAAACCGCUUUCGCCUGUGACGAAGCGUGAGUGACGGUAAUGGGUAAAGAAGCGCCGGCUAACUACGUG
rnacentral:rRNA from 1 species